AUGAAUGGUUUCUGUUAGAUGUCUGCCCUUUACCUUGUCUCAACCUGCCCGACACUUUCACACUCAGGCAAUAACAAGAGAUCCAGUCUGCAUAGUGAAGGUGAAGUUGAGGCCAUUGGUCAACCGCAAAAGAAAAUCACAAAGUUUUUUUUAUUAUUAUUAUUAUUAGUACCUUUAACUUUAUUUACAGAGAUAGAAACAACAGAUUCCAAGUACAUCCCAUAUAACAUUUAUUGCCUUCUCAGACACUUAACAUUUAAACAAACAGAAAACAGCUAAUGUUCACACUCUUGAAAACUUUGAAUCUACAAACAGUUAUGUUAAAAAUGUGUCUCCUCCACACACUCUUACAUUUGCUGCCGCACUCUCCCAGAACUACUAAAUUUUUCUUGUGACACCAACAUCUUUUAGUGCCACCACCGUCUGCUCGCACAGGGACAGAGUGGAAAAUAUAUUCUCUCCAAUUUUUUGUUCUUUUGCAAAUGAAUGGAAAUGUAGGCUAAAAUAUGUUCAAAUUCACGGCGCUAAAAAGUUUCUCUCCACUUUAUAAACCACGAUCUACGGCCUGCUGUAACGUCGCGGGGGGACACUGUUUGCCGCAGCUCAGUGGAAUUUCACCGCUGCCACCCGCUGACAUAAUUUGUUUCACAGUCACCACCCAGAAGCAUGAAUCAGAUGUUGACAUUCUAAUUUCAUGCACACAUGGGUGUUUGGCUGAGCCGGUCGUAGAUGCAGCAGCACCCUCCCUCCCUCCAUGUCUCUUUCCCUCUGGCUGGCCGCAACAUACCUGCCCUUUGCCCUCAGUCACAGCCAGGCGGCUUAUUUACCCUGGGCAGCCACACAAUAUCACUGAUGAUUUAAGCUUUUAGUGCCAUAAUGAUGAUGUGCACUGUGACAUCUGAAGAGAAAGCUGAAAUAUUAUUCUCACUGCAAAAAGUCAUAGUCAGCCUUAUAAUCUAUUUGAGAUUAGCUGAAUAUGGACUUAGAGGCUUAAAGGGAAAAUAGUCUCCUUCCCACUAAUCAAUGAAGCCCACAGGUUGCUCUGUUUACCACUUAAAUAAAUCUGUUUACCAUCGUCCGCUGCUCCGUCUGAAAAUAUUUGCUUUACUGUGUUGUUUUUGCCAAGGAAAAGCGCUCACAUGAUGUGAUAAAAUAAAGCCACAAGCCAUGCUUCAAAAUGUCAAGGGCUUGUCUGGGAUUGGCACAUUUGCAGAGUAUGAUUAAUGCAAGUUUUGUCUAUUCCUGAUUAUUUUUCCUCUAGAAGUUGGCGCUGACAAGCUGCUGUGGGAAAGAAAGCGAAAGGAUGAGCUACACUUUGUGGUGUUUGUCCUCAUUCUGUCAUCUCAAAGAAGGCCGAGGAAACUAUCUUUGGUGAAAGUGACCAGCCGGAUGCGGCGGACGUGGACAUAAAUGCCAAAAGAAAAGAGGGGGCAAUUGGCAAUAUUGUUUACCUCUCAACAAAUGUGACAGGCUCUCCUGCGACUGAACAUAAAUCCUGGAGAUAAACACAUAGAGUGGAAGUUGUUUGUGUACAGAGUGGAGCCAGGUAGCGGCAGGGUUUGCUGAGACACUUGCUUACUCGUGACAAACGGUAAACACACUGUAAAUAACAGAACCAUGUCCGCAUCAGUUCCUCACUCGGGGUUAAGUUGAGUUUAUUGCAGAGGCCAGUGCCUGCAUGCAUUAGGCAAAUCAUAAAUUAUAUAUACUAAUUACCUUGGGCCCACAUUUAAUGAAUUAUUUUAAUUAAACUACAACAUAGGCUUUCAUUUUUUUUGUGCAGGUGGUCUAUAUUUCAUCCCCUGCCUGAGAUGACCUUCUUCUUUGUCUAAGUGGAACACAGUGGAAAGAACAAGGGCAGUGCAGUCUUAGAUUGUACAGCUACGUUCAUACCGAUGACUGAAGUGAGUGAAAUGGUAAAAGAAAAAAAGCAAGGGAAGAGAGGGAAAAAAAGAGAAAUAAAUUACAGAUUGUGGACAAAUUUUGGAUUUGCAUUUUUAAGCAUUUUUUUUUAUUAUUGUGUUAUUUAUUUCAAUAACAUUCAUCAUUAAUUUACUUAUUUGUGUAUUGUAAUUUGAUUGGUUUUACACUUUUAGCAUAAUUUUAUUCCGUUUAAUCUGUUUGUUCUUUUAUUGGUAAUAACAUUGUCUUUUAUUGGUAAUAACAUUGAAACCAGCACAAACAAGCACUCUGUUUAUUUCCUCGGGUUGUUUAUUUCCCUAAAGCAUAAACCAAAACCUGUUUUAAGAUGAAAUAUGCAAAUUUUGAAUUAAUGUCAUUUUUUUUAAUUAGAUGAAACCUGCGAGUUAUUUUUUUUACAGUUGAUAUUAAAGAAUGAGUUUACAAUAAAGUUUAUAGAUACCUGCUAUUAUUUACAUGUUUGUUUAUUAUUGCACAACAGACCAUUCUUUCCCUAAAAGAAAAAAAAUAAAGUCACUAAAGAAGAACAUAAAAUAAAAUAUAUAUAUUACACUAAAUUAAAUUUAAAAUAAUAAUUAGAGUUUUUUUGUGUUUUUCUGAGAAUUCUUUUUAGUAAUUAUUCUUUUUCGUCUGGCCAAUUAAUAAUGCACUUUAAAAUAUAUUUUGUGCUGCGAUUCGAACGACGAUCUGAAAAAAUUUCCAUAAUGAUUUACUUCUACGCUGUAAAAAAAAAAAAAAAAAAAAAAUAGGAUCAUGAGGGCAUUUAUUUAUCCAGAGUCAGAAUUAAUGGUACAAACACAAAUGCACAAAAACACUGUUGUACAAACAGUCCACGGGGGAGGGGUGGAUUUAAAUUCCAAAAGGGUCUCGGCAGCUCGUUUCCUAGUUCCCCGGUCAGAAAUGUUUUUGUGGAAGAAGAAAAAAAAUCAGUCUUUUUGUCUUGCUGAAAAAAAGGCUAAAUCUACAUUGGUGGCCCAGUCGAAGUUUACAAUUCUUUGCACUUUCAAUACAAGUGAAUGAGGGCGAAUGAAGUGGCCCGAGACCCUUUAUUUGAUCUGGAUUGCAUAAAGUGACGGAAUUCUAAUGUAUUUGUUUAAUGCUCCGAAAGAGCCUGUUGCUUAUUUAUACACCCUCCCCUUUUUUCAGUAAAUAUAGAAAUCGAUUUUAAAUCUCUUAAAACUGAAAUAAUAUCAGAUGAGGUGUUGCUGAUAUUUUUGUCGUCAUAUCUGUCAACCUGUUGAAUUAAAUACCCGAAGUAAGAAAAAAAAAAAAAAGUAAUGCAAAAUUUAAAGUUCAAAAGAGGGGA